UACGUAGGGUGCAAGCGUUAAUCGGAAUUACUGGGCGUAAAGCGUGCGCAGGCGGUUGUGUAAGACAGAUGUGAAAUCCCCGGGCUUAACCUGGGAACUGCAUUUGUGACUGCACGGCUAGAGUGUGUCGGAGGGGGGUAGAAUUCCACGUGUAGCAGUGAAAUGCGUAGAGAUGUGGAGGAACACCGAUGGCGAAGGCAGCCCCCUGGGUUAACACUGACGCUCAGGCACGAAAGCGUGGGGAGCAAACAGG
rnacentral:rRNA from 1 species